rnacentral:rRNA from 1 species
GAUGAACGCUGGCGGCGUGCCUAAUACAUGCAAGUCGAGCGAACAGACGAGGAGCUUGCUCCUCUGACGUUAGCGGCGGACGGGUGAGUAACACGUGGAUAACCUACCUAUAAGACUGGGAUAACUUCGGGAAACCGGAGCUAAUACCGGAUAAUAUAUUGAACCGCAUGGUUCAAUAGUGAAAGACGGUUUUGCUGUCACUUAUAGAUGGAUCCGCGCCGCAUUAGCUAGUUGGUAAGGUAACGGGUUACCAAGGCAACGAUGCGUAGCCGACCUGAGAGGGUGAUCGGCCGCACUGGAACUGAGACACGGUCCAGGCUCCUACGGGAGGCAGCAGUAGGGAAUCUUCCGCAAUGGGCGAAAGCCUGACGGAGCAACGCCGCGUGAGUGAUGAAGGUCUUCGGAUCGUAAAACUCUGUUAUUAGGGAAGAACAAAUGUGUAAGUAACUAUGCACGUCUUGACGGUACCUAAUCAGAAAGCCACGGCUAACUACGUG